GUUUGCAGCCAGUACAUUCUAUUCAUUCCAUUGCCCAAAGACAACAUUAAGUCACACGCCCUCUGGAAAACCGAGGGCAGGAAUGGUGUGGCACCACACUGAGGUGUCUCUGGAUAAACAGCAAACCUCCCUAAGUGAGUCAAGUGCUCCAUAAAUCUCAGCGUCAUGACAUCCCGCUGGGGCCCCUGUGGGUCUGCCGCCACCGCCACCGUCAUCAACGACGAUGUGUCAGCUAAUCGUUGUUUGUAGAACUGGCAGAUCCCUGAGACUAUCUCCCAGCACUCGGUUUGAGAAGCAGGUCUGGACAUCCAUAAACCAACUGUUCUGUUUCUCAUAGAAGAAAAGCCUGAAGCACAGCCAGUGGGACCGAGAGGCGCAGGUGAGGAACUCCAUGAGGAAUGCCAAUAAUUCUGAUGCCACAGCACCACCCCAGGAGUGCAUGAAGAAACAGCACAACGACGAGAGGCGGUUUCCCAAGCUGGGUCAGACCGUGGGCCUGGCCCAGACAUCACAAACCUCCAGGCCGCUGGGCUCCGUGCUGCUCCUGGCUGGCCCCCAGCUCCAGCCUCCACAGCCUGGGAGAUAAGAGGAUCAUGGUGGCAGGAACAGAGUAAAAGAGCUCCUGUUCCCAACUCAGGGUUUAAAAAAAGUUCAUCAUAAUGGUCAGAGCUCUGAAGGCUCACUCAGUGUGACCGAUCG